AGGACAAACGCUGGCGGCGUACCUAAGACAUGCAAGUUGAACGGACUGCAGGUUUUCGGAUUUGCAGUGAGUGGCGAACGGGUGAGUAACGCGUAGGAACCCGCCUCGACGUGGGGGAUAACACCUGGAAACAGGUGCUAAUACCGCAUGUGGUCGGAAGAAGAAAGGCUCUAGCAAUAGAGUCGCGUUGAGAGGGGCCUGCGUCCGAUUAGCUAGUUGGUGGGGUAAAGGCUCACCAAGGCGACGAUCGGUAGCUGGU
rnacentral:rRNA from 1 species